GCGUAGGUGGUGGUUUAAGUCUGUUGUGAAAGCCCUGGGCUCAACCUGGGAAUUGCAGUGGAUACUGGGCGACUAGAGUGUGGUAGAGGGUAGYGGAAUUCCCGGUGUAGCAGUGAAAUGCGUAGAGAUCGGGAGGAACAUCCAUGGCGAAGGCAGCUACCUGGACCAACACUGACACUGAGGCACGAAAGCGUGGGGAGCAAACAGGAUUAGAUACCCUGGUAGUCCACGCCCUAAACGAUGCGAACUGGAA
rnacentral:rRNA from 1 species